rnacentral:misc_RNA from 1 species
CUUCUUCUUCUUCCUUAUUUUCUUCUUAAAAGCUUCCAUAGAGAAGAAAAUUUUGGCUCAACGGUCACAAGUUUUUUCUUUUCUCUCUCUACCAUAUCUAAAGGAAGGCAUCAAUGCCUGCUCAGAAGAGGUCUCUCCCUGAUAAUCCCGACAACGAUGAGGAAGAUGCUCCCUCUUCUCCUCUUCAAAACGGCCACCAAUAUCCCAAGCAAUCUCGAGUCGACCCACCUCCUCUUGAUGACCCCACACUCCACCAGCAACAACAACUAGAGGAAGGAGAAGAAGAAGACGAGCCAACCCACAAGCCAGAAGAAGAGGAAGAAGAAGAAGAAGAAGAAGAAGACGCUGAAGGAGAAGAAGAUGAGGAACUAGAAGAGCAAGCUGAAGAGAAACAACCAGCAGCACAAGAUUCUGAGGAAAGCCAAUCUUCCAGCUCCGAAGAUGAAAAACCCGAAUUUGUCUUUGUGGAG